rnacentral:rRNA from 1 species
UGAAUACGAGAUGCUACGGCGUCGAAGCAGUCUAUGUCAUACUUCCAAGAAAAGCUUGCACUGUCAUAAACAAAUAAUGCCUGUACCAUAACCGACACAGGUGGGUAGGUAGAGUAUACUAAGGGGCGCGAGAUAACUCUCUCUAAGGAACUCGGCAAAAUGACUCCGUAACUUCGGGAGAAGGAGUGCCUUAUUUAUAAGGUUGCAAUAACAAGAUCCAAGCAACUGUUUACCAAAAACACAGGUCUCCGCUAAGUCGUAAGACGAUGUAUGGGGGCUGACGCCUGCCCAGUGCCAGAAGGUUAAAGAAGUUGGUUAGCAUCCGCGAAGCUGAUAACUGAAGCCCUGGUGAACGGCGGCCGUAACAAUAACGGUCCUAAGGUAGCGAAAUUCCUUGUCGGGUAAGUUCCGACCCGCACGAAAGGCGUAAUGAUUUGGAUACUGUCUCGGAGAGGGGCUCGGUGAAAUAGACUUGUCUGUGAAGAUGCGGACUACCUGCACCAGGACAGAAAGACCCUAUGAAGCUUUACUGUAACCUGAAAUUGAAAUUGGACUUUACUUGCGCAGUAUAGGUGGGAGGCGUUGAGAAUAUUCUUGCGGGAUUAUUGGAGCCAUCAGUGAGAUACCACUCUUGUAAUGUUAGAUUUCUAACUUUGUAUCAUUAUCUGGUCAAAGAACAGUUUCAGGCGGGCAGUUUGACUGGGGCGGUCGCCUCCUAAACGGUAACGGAGGCGCACAAAGGUUUCCUCUGAACGGGUAGAAAUCGUAUCUAGAGUGUAAAGGCAUAAGGAAGCUUGACUGUGAGACCUACAAGUCGAGCAGGGACGAAAGUCGGUCUUAGUGAUCUGACGGUGCUGAGUGGAAAGGCCGUCACUCAACGGAUAAAAGUUACUCUAAGGAUAACAGGCUGAUCUCCCCCAAGAGUUCACAUCGACGGGGAGGUUUGGCACCUCGAUGUCGGCUCAUCGCAUCCUGGGGCGGUAGUACGUCCCAAGGGUUGGGCUGUUCGCCCAUGAAAGCGGUACGCGAGCUGGGUUCAGAACGUCGUGAGACAGUUCGGUCCAUAUCCGGUGUAGGCGUUAGAAUAUUGAGAGGAUCCUUCUUUAGUACGAGAGGACCGAGAAGGACAUACCUCUGGUGUACCAGUUAUCGUGCCAACGGUAAACGCUGGGUAGCUAUGUGUGGAGUGGAUAACCGCUGAAAGCAUCUAAGUGGGAAGUCCACCUCAAGAUAAGUAUUCUCAUG